rnacentral:misc_RNA from 1 species
GUGAAUCAUCGAAUCUUUGAACGCACAUUGCGCCCUUUGGCAUUCCUUAGGGCAUGCCUGUUCGAGCGUCAUUUAAACCCUCAAGCACUGCUUGGUGUUGGGCGUUUGUCCCGCCUCUCGGCGCGGACUCGCCUCAAAAGCAUUGGCGGCCUGUGUGAAAGGCUUCGAGCGCAGCAGAUGCGAGCCUCGAUCCCCACGCGCCGGCGUCCAGCAAGCCAACCCAUCAUUUUGACCUCGGAUCAGGUAGGGAUACCCGCUGAACUUAAGCAUAUCAAUAAGCGGAGGA